rnacentral:rRNA from 1 species
UACGUAGGGGGCUAGCGUUGUCCGGAUUUAUUGGGCGUAAAGGGCGCGUAGGCGGUUGCUCAAGUCAGGCGUGAAAGCCCCGGGCUCAACCUGGGAACAGCGCUUGAGACUGGGCGGCUCGAGUUCGGGAGAGGAGAGUGGAAUUCCUGGUGUAGCGGUGAAAUGCGCAGAUAUCAGGAAGAACACCCGUGGCGAAGGCGGCUCUCUGGGACGGUACUGACGCUGAGACGCGAAAGCGUGGGGAGCGAACAGG